UUUUAUAGGUUACUUAACUUUUUAAUUAUGCAGCAAUAACUGAUUCAAACGCUGAUUGGAUGACUAGUUAAUAAACUUCUGAAAUGACUCUCAUAUAAAUAUUUCAUUUCAACAAAUUCGGAGCCUGGAAAAAACAAAUCAUUAUUGUUCUCCUUUGACAACACGAGAUAAAUAAAAACAACUGUACGGUGAGAAAAGCCUUAGAGCUUGUAAGUAUUUCGCACGAUAAAAUGUCAAGUAUAUAUAAUGCCACACGUUUUAUGUGUAGCGGCCAGACUAUGGGAGAGGUGCAUAUAUAGCGAGUCCUGUAUAUUUAUCGACGAGAACACCAUUUGCACUGACGACGGAGAAUGUCGUUGUGGAGAGAGGUAUACAAUCAGCAACAGGGAUGGAGAAGAAACUUGUGUACUUGAUCAGACGAACUGGAUGUUCGAAAACUCUGAUGUUACUACCGUGAUAAUGGUGGUUUCUGCGGUCAUGAUAGCCACCGCACUAUUCUGCCUCGUCCUUAGACUCUUUAGCAGAGCACGAUUCGGGAGGAACAGAGCAGGGUUUGGCAACGCCGCAGCGCCCUCUGUGAUGUUAACAGAUAUGGAGGAAGCUCCAUCGGAUCCACACUCACGACGUCUAUCGAGAUGCAGCAGCAACAGUGAUUAUCUUCCUGGUUCAGGAAGAGCAAGUUACUCGAUGCUGGCGCCACCUGCAUCGGCAGGUUCACGUCGGUCGAGCUCCAUUUCUGUGCGUUCCCAGGGUUCCGUGCGAAGCCAUGCGUCAUCAUUUCGCAGCCAAUCAUCGUUCCGGAGUUAUCGUGGAGGGAGACGGGACUCUGUUAGACGAACUCGUUCAACACCAACAGAAGCUUCAACGUCAAAAUUUAAUCAUCCCAAACACACGAACAAAACUAAUCAAGAAGAUAAAGUGACAGCACCAUCGCAAGAAACACUAACUGACGCAGUACGAAAUGAUACAUAAAAACUGCUUUAUGUUCCAUUAAAAUAGGCCUAGAAGAAUCUUCAUGGAUUCAAAGAACUCUUACAUAUCAUUUCCCUCGAACAGCAGGGCAGUGAAACUAAACACAUUGCUACGUUAUAAACGAUAUCGUUUGAGAAUUUUACGAGCACAAAUUAUUAACUUCGUGAAAUUAAAUUAAUUUUUUUUAUUUUUAAGAUAACUCACAUAAAAAAGCUCAGGUAAAUAAAACACAAGAUAAAUUAAAUCUAAACCGUUACCUAACGUAGAUGUGUGGGGUGUCCCCGCUUAUAACUGGCGAUUCGCUAUACCCAUUGUCACCAAAUUUGAAGAGGGUAAUUCUUAGGUCCCUAGAAGUGAUUUGCGCCAUCUUUGGACUCAGUAGGAUAUCAGAACUACAGGUAAUAAUGGUAUUAGUUAUAAGUUAAACAUAAUCUAUAUUAAACGACAAUACUGGUUAUAUUUGAUAUCAGAACUACAGUUUUCAAAAAACGCUCGAUCACUAUCUUGACGAGGUUAAGAGUAAAAAUCCCAAUGACAUAUAUAAUUGUAACAACCGUGUGAUCUUGUUCAAACUAUACUCCUCGGCAUGUAAUGGAGCACGUAAAAAGUUCAAAUGAGGAUAAAAUGUAGGAAAAGUAAAGAGUUUAUAUUUUCCUUUAUGUUGACCUUCAGAUCGAAGAAAGUUAGAAAACUUCUUCAUGAAAAAUAAAGGUUGGAAUGGGUUGCAGAUAGUUUGUGUUAAACAGAUAUUUCUAGUUGAAACUCAAAAUAGAAGUCACUUAACGUGUCCUCACUCACUGAACUUCUAUCACUUGUUUGAGGUAAUCAAUAAGUUAUUUUCAAAACAACGGUUCCUGUAUUAAAAACAAACACCAGUUUAAGACGAGCCGCUUCCAGUUCAUUUUAACUUCUUCUAACACAUUUAAAAAACAAAAUAAUCACAGUGUUAAUUUACUUGGUAGGUGGAUCAAAGAAGAACAAAACUUAUUUUCUGUAUUACUCAUCCGAUACCUGAAACUUAGUAACACUUCUAUAUAACCGAGAAAAUCUCUGUUAGGCCUAACCUGAACUUUAAGCAAAACGACUUCAGACCUAAAGGCAAACUCCUACUAAAGUAGGCUUAGGUAUUUAGCGCUCACCACUUUCGACUU
rnacentral:misc_RNA from 1 species